CAAGUCGAACGAUUAAAGCUCCCUUCGGGGAGUGCAUAAAGUGGCGCACGGGUGAGUAACACGUAAGUAAUCUACCCUCGGGUGGGGAAUAACGUUCGGAAACGGACGCUAAUACCGCAUAAUGCAGCGGCACCGCAAGGUGACAGUUGUUAAAGAUUUAUUGCCUGGGGAGGAGCUUGCGGCAGAUUAGCUUGUUGGUAAGGUAACGGCUUACCAAGGCUACGAUCUGUAUCCGGUCUAAGAGGACGGUCGGACACACUGACACUGAAUAACGGGUCAGACUCCUACGGGAGGCAGCAGUCGGGAAUUUUGGGCAAUGGGGGAAACCCUGACCCAGCAACGCCGCGUGAAGGAUGAAGUAUUUCGGUAUGUAAACUUCGAAAGAAUAGGAAGAAUUAAUGACGGUACUAUUUAUAAGGUCCGGCUAACUACGUGCCAGCAGCCGCGGUAAUACGUAGGGACCAAGCGUUGUUCGGAUUUACUGGGCGUAAAGGGCGCGUAGGCGGCGCGGUAAGUCACUUGUGAAAUCUCUGAGCUUAACUCAGAACGGCCAAGUGAUACUGCAGUGCUAGAGUGUGGAAGGGGCAAUCGGAAUUCUUGGUGUAGCGGUGAAAUGCGUAGAUAUCAAGAGGAACACCUGAGGUGAAGACGGGUUGCUGGGCCAACACUGACGCUGAUGCGCGAAAGCCAGGGGAGCAAACGGGAUUAGAUACCCCGGUAGUCCUGGCCCUAAACGAUGAAUACUUGGUGUCUGGAGUUUUAAUGCUCCGGGUGCCGUCGCUAACGUUUUUAGUAUUCCGCCUGGGGAGUACGCUCGCAAGAGUGAAACUCAAAGGAAUUGACGGGGACCCGCACAAGC
rnacentral:rRNA from 1 species